UAACUACCGCAUUAUUCUGUGAGCGAAGGAAAGGAGGGGGAUCGCAAGACCUCUUGCUUUAGGAGCGGCCGAUGUCGGAUUAGCUAGUUGGUGAGGUAAGGCUCACCAAGGCGACGAUCCGUAGCGGGUCUGAGAGGAUGAUCCGCCACACUGGGACUGAGACACGGCCCAGACUCCUACGAGAGGCAGCAGUGGGGAAUUUUGGACAAUGGGCGCAAGCCUGAUCCAGCCAUGCCGCGUGAGUGAAGAAGGCCUUCGGGUUGUAAAGCUCUUUCGGUGGGGAAGAAAUUGCUUCGGUUAAUACCUGGAGUAGAUGACGGUACCCGCAUAAGAAGCACCGGCUAACUACGUG
rnacentral:rRNA from 1 species